AUGGCGUCGGGAUCAGCAGCUCUGGCUGUCGUCGCCGUGGCCGUGGCGGCUGCGCUCCUUGCCCUGUGUGGCUCGACGGAGGCCCACGCGCAGUUCGGGGCGUACAACAAGACGUGCCCACAGGCGGAGGACAUCGUGUUCAAGGAGAUGACCGCCGUCCUCGCCAAGUCGCCCGGCCUCGCCGGAUCCAUGCUCAGGCUCUUCUCCGUCGACUGCUUCGUCGGAGGUUGUGAGGGGUCGAUACUUCUCGACUCGACGGCCAACAACACGGCAGAGAAGGACUCGCCGCUCAACAAGGGCCUCCGCGGCUACAACGUCAUCGACUCCAUCAAGGCGAAGCUCGAGGCGGCCUGCCCCGGCGUUGUCUCCUGCGCCGACGUCCUCGCCCUUGCUGCGCGUGACUCCGUGCGAAUUACCAAAGGCCCCUACAUCCCGGUCCCGACGGGACGGGAGGACGGCAAUAGAUCGUCUGCCGCCGACGUCGCCCCCAACACCCCCAAGCCGGACGCCAGCAUUACCGACCUCAUCACCUUCUUCGGGAAGUUCAACCUCACUGCCAAGGACCUUGCCGUCCUCUCCGGUGCACACACCACCGGCAAGGCUCACUGCCCCGCCUUCUCCGCCCGCCUCUACAACUUCACCGCCAGCAACAACAUCUCAGACCCCACGCUCGAUGCCAACUACACGGCCACGCUCCGCGGCCAGUGUGCGGCCGGUGACCUCGCCACCCUCGUCGACCUCGACCCCAGCAGCGACACGACGUUCGACCUUGGCUACUACAGGGGCGUCGCGGCGAGCAGGGGCCUCCUCUCCACCGACGGCGCGCUGCUCCUCAACGAGGACACCAGGGCCUACGUGACGCGCCAGGCCAACGCCACCGCGCCCGCCGAGUUCUUCGCCGACUUCGCUGCGUCCUUCAUCAACAUGAGCAAGAUCGGCGUGUUGUCGCACCAUAAGGGCCAGAUAAGGAGGCACUGCUCCGUUGUCAACCCUCUGUCCGCCUCCUCCCAGGCGCCCGUCACCAUGGGCGCGCACGCCGCUGUGCUACUUGCCAGCUCUUUCGUCUCCAUCGUCGCUCUGGCGCUUGUGCUCUAG
rnacentral:rRNA from 1 species